rnacentral:rRNA from 1 species
GACGAACGCUGGCGGCGUGCCUAAUACAUGCAAGUCGAACGCAGUGGGGACGGGUGAGUAACACGUGGGUAACCUCCCAUCAGAGGGGAUAACACUUGGAAACAGGUGCUAAACCGAUACUGAUGGAUGGCCCCGCGGUGCAUUAGCUAGUUGGUGAGGUAACGGCUCACCAAGGCCACGAUGCAUAGCCGACCUGAGAGGGUGAUCGGGCACACUGGGAAUGAGACACGGCCCAGACGUCGACGGGAGGCAGCAGUAGGGAAGUUUAGGGAAUGGACGAAAGUCUGACCGAGCAACGCCGCGUGAGUUAAGAAGGGUUUCGGAUCGUAAAACUCUGUUGUUAAGGAAGCGGUAGUUAACCAGAAAGGGACGGCUAACUACGUGCCAGCAGCCGCGGUAAUUC